rnacentral:rRNA from 1 species
CCCUUAGAUGUUCUGGGCCGCACGCGCGCUACACUGAUGCAUUCAACGAGUCUAAAACCUGCUCUGAUAGGGGUGGGUAAUCUUUUGAAUGUGCAUCGUGAUUGGGAUAGAUGAUAGCAAUUUUUCAUCUUCAACGAGGAAUGCCUAGUAAACGCAAGUCAUCAGCUUGCAUUGAUUACGUCCCUGCCCUUUGUACACACCGCCCGUCGCUCCUACCGAUUGAAUGAUCCGAUGAAUAUCAUGGAUUGAGGAUGCAAGUAGGUUAGCCUAUCUUCAUCUUCGAGAAGUGAAGUAAAUCUUAUCAUUUAGAGGAAGGAGAAGUCGUAACA